rnacentral:lncRNA from 1 species
AUGGUUUCAUCAUUCAUUACCCAAACUGUUUCAUUCAAGAUCAAAGGUUUUCAAACAUUAAAGGAAAGAUCACUCCUUUUAGCCUUAUAUGGAAAGCUUGAUCUGAGUCUUCAACUAGCUGGGAGUGUGACUUACUAUGGACAUGGAUUAAAUGAGUUUGUACCACCAAGAACAGCUGCUUAUAUCAGCCAGCAUGAUAUUCAUAUUGGAGAAACCUUGGCUUUCUCAGCAAGGUGCCAAGGAGUUGGAUAA